rnacentral:rRNA from 1 species
AUUGAACGCUGGCGGCAGGCCUAACACAUGCAAGUCGAGCGGAUGAAGGGAGCUUGCUCCUGGAUUCAGCGGCGGACGGGUGAGUAAUGCCUAGGAAUCUGCCUGGUAGUGGGGGAUAACGUCCGGAAACGGGCACUAAUACCGCAUACGUCCUGAGGGAGAAAGUGGGGGAUCUUCGGACCUCACGCUAUCAGAUGAGCCUAGGUCGGAUUAGCUAGUUGGUGGGGUAAAGGCCUACCAAGGCGACGAUCCGUAACUGGUCUGAGAGGAUGAUCAGUCACACUGGAACUGAGACACGGUCCAGACUCCUACGGGAGGCAGCAGUGGGGAAUAUUGGACAAUGGGCGAAAGCCUGAUCCAGCCAUGCUGCGUGUGUGAAGAAGGUCUUCGGAUUGUAAAGCACUUUAAGUUGGGAGGAAGGGCAGUAAGUUAAUACCUUGCUGUUUUGACGUUACCAACAGAAUAAGCACCGGCUAACUUCGUG